GAGACCUCAACCUCUGAGACAAUCACCAUGUUUGCUGUGAAAGCAGUUUGCCUCCUCACCACCGUCGCUCUGCUUGUUGCAAUGGUGGCUGCGGCCCCUCUGAGUGAGAACCGUUGUUCAAGGAUACCUUGGUUGGCGAUCAUGUGUGUCAAUCCAAAUUGAUGAAGAGACAUCAAGCAUCCACUGAAGACUACAAUCAGUAAAAAACCAAUGUAGUCAAAUUAAAUAAAGUAGUCAAACAUA